rnacentral:rRNA from 1 species
AUACAAAACCAACGCCCUUCGUGGCUCCUUGGUGAAUCAUAAUAACUUAACGAAUCGCAUGGCCUUGCGCCGGCGAUGGUUCAUUCAAAUUUCUGCCCUAUCAACUUUCGAUGGUAGGAUAGUGGCCUACCAUGGUGG